AGGUCUCUCCUCUACACAGUCAUGUAUUCAUCAACCUGAGACCAGCUCAUGAAAGAAUCAGCAAACCUGUGAUUACAGUCACAUGAAAAUUCACUCCCACCACCAUCUGUGAUUUGAUUUCUAGUCAAAACAGGGAGAUAAUUCUGCACGCAGGAACAUCACUGACAUAACUAGAAGGGAGGAAGAAAAACUCACUGACACAUUGUCAGGGAGCAGUAGGAGCCUGUUGCUCACAGAGAAGGCAAGUCAAGAGCAACCCCAACACAGGCAGCAACCUCAUCAAGCAGGGCAGCAGGCCCAAAGUAUCACACCACAGCAGGCAGGGCCAGGUACUAACAACAGGUUCCACGAAACAGGCCCCAACACAGCUAGGGAGAAAACUAAGUACGCUGCCUGGCAGCCCAGCCAAAGAUAAGACAAAAACAAACCAGCUGUAACUGCAACAUUGCUCAGAAGAGGGUUGACUCAGCUGGGGGACACUGGGUGAAGGCCCCAGGUUGGAAUCAAUGCCUGCACCAGGAAGACAACUCAACACAACUUUCCUUUAAUAAGUCAGCAGCCUCAGAAGAUGUAGCACACAGAUACCCUGACCUGCUUAUCACACAGCUGACUCUCAUCUUUCAAGGAGGUUAUGAUGAUCUACCAGAUUACACUCUGGCAUGAAACUGGAACGUGAAGCUUUACAUGGUUCCUAGCAACACAGGUUGCAAUGGGAUCACUAGAAUAAAAGCAUGCAGAAAUAAAAAAGGAGGACUUUCUCCCAGGACUAACUGAAUUUCUUACAAAUAUCCAGCUAUCAUUAUAAGAUAUAAACGCGACUACUCAAAACAAAAGCAGAAAGGUUCAGUGCAAAACAG